GAUGAACGCUGGCGGCGUGCCUAAUACAUGCAAGUCGAGCGAACAGACGAGGAGCUUGCUCCUCUGACGUUAGCGGCGGACGGGUGAGUAACACGUGGAUAACCUACCUAUAAGACUGGGAUAACUUCGGGAAACCGGAGCUAAUACCGGAUAAUAAAUUGAACCGCAUGGUUCAUUAGUGAAAGACGGUUUUGCUGUAACUUAUAGAUGGAUCCGCGCCGCAUUAGCUAGUUGGUAAGGUAACGGCUUACCAAGGCAACGAUGCGUAGCCGACCUGAGAGGGUGAUCGGCCACACUGGAACUGAGACACGGUCCAGACUCCUACGGGAGGCAGCAGUAGGGAAUCUUCCGCAAUGGGCGAAAGCCUGACGGAGCAACGCCGCGUGAGUGAUGAAGGUCUUCGGAUCGUAAAACUCUGUUAUUAGGGAAGAACAAAUGUGUAAGUAACUAUGCACGUCUUGACGGUACCUAAUCAGAAAGCCACGGCUAACUACGUG
rnacentral:rRNA from 1 species